UAAUACGGAGGGUGCAAGCAUUAAUCGGAUUUAUUGGGCGUAAAGGGCGCGUAGGCGGGAAAGUCAGUCAGAUGUGAAAGCCCAGGGCUCAACCCUGGAACAGCAUUUGAAACUACUUUUCUAGAGGGUAGGCGGAGAAAACAGAAUUCCACGUGUAGCGGUGAAAUGCGUAGAUAUGUGGAGGAAUACCGGUGGCGAAGGCGGUUUUCUAGCUUAUUCCUGACGCUAAUGCGCGAAAGCAAGGGGAGCAAACAGG
rnacentral:rRNA from 1 species